AGCAGCCGCGGUAAUUCCAGCUCCAAUAGCGUAUAUUAAAGUUGUUGCAGUUAAAAAGCUCGUAGUUGAAUUUCGGGAUUGACACAUCGGUCGUGCCUUAAGGGGUGUGAACUGGUGUAGUCAAUUUCUCACCUUCUGGAGAACCGCGAUGCCCUUAAUUGGGUGUCACGGGGAACCAGGACCUUUACUUUGAAAAAUUAGAGUGUUUAAAGCAGGCAUUUUGCUUGAAUACAUUAGCAUGGAAUAAUAAAAUAGGACGGCAUGAUUCUAUUUUGUUGGUUUCUAGGAUCACCGUAAUGAUUAAUAGGGAUAGUUGGGGGCAUUAGUAUUCAAUUGUCAGAGGUGAAAUCCUUGGAUUUAUUGAAGACUAACUACUGCGAAAGCAUUUGCCAAGGAUGUUUUCAUUAAUCAAGAACGAAAGUUAGGGGAUCGAAGACGAUCAGAUACCGU
rnacentral:rRNA from 1 species